CCGCGGAGAGGGGAUCAAAGCUUGUCCGAGGACAUCUAGAUGAACCCACUCUUCGGAAAGGCUGCAGAGAAACAUGUCCUACAGACCUACUAUCAUCUGGUUAACAACUCCCAGUGGACGGACCAAAAUUCCAGACGCUUCCCACUUUCUCUCCACUGCACGGAUGCUGCCACACAUGCUCAUAUACCUCUGAACCUUCCAGUGACUACGGCACAGCGACAGCUGAGUUCCUGGGCGCAGAACCACUGGGGCACGUUUUGGCAGCUAUGAGCAAAUCACUGUGCACAAAGGCAAUCCCAGUUUACACUUCCACAGAGAGGAACUGAAUACACUGCCCACCCUCACCUGACUUUUGGGUCCUAUUUUGUCAGUGGGGUUUUGGGGAACUGUGUCACGGGACCCUGCCCAGCAACCCCUCACCCGCAGUAGAAGACAGCCUUCUGCCAGGAGCGCAGCCGGUCCACCUUCUCCGCCACUGUGUUUGCAAACUCGAUGAACUGGCAGCAGAAGGGCGCCUCACACAGCAACAAGAUGAAGGCAUUCAUGCUGCAGGGACCAGGGCAGGAGAAGAGCAGCGACUGACAAUCCCAGGAGGAUGAGGGCGGCCCCCAGUGCCAGUGCCAUAAGGAAUGCCACCUCCCUCACCCUCCUGCCCUCAUCCCUCCUCCUCUGGGAAGCCGCCCGGCUGCUCCAGGGCACCUGCUCGUACCCCUCGGAGAGCCUCUGCUGAAGACUCCAGCACUCCCCAGCUGCUCCUGCACACCCAUCUCCCCAGCUGAACUGAACACUCCUAGAGGGAAGCCCCUGGGCUUCUGCUUCCCUUUAUCCUCCU
rnacentral:lncRNA from 1 species